rnacentral:lncRNA from 1 species
UCACAUAAUCGUAGUUAGGCUACAUCUCAAACUCUAGAAGAUAGAAAUUAAUUCAUGCUAAAAUUGAAGAAAAGUUUAAAUAAAGAGUUAACAUCAAGAAAUUGAAAGAAAUGGGAAGAAGGAAAAACUCAGUGAAUCUGGUCUCUCGUUUUCUUGAAGUGGCUUCCCUCUUUUGAUAGCCAAAAGGGAAGAAAAAGAAUCGAUCCACCUUGGUCCCAGCCUUCUUGGUCGUCAAGCCAUCUUCACCAGGAAAAGAAAGAAUCAAUCCCCAAUUCGCCUCUUCAAUUCGGCAUAUUUUUAUUCUUGGAUUGUGGGCCGUUUUUCACUUAGAAAACGUGAGAAUUUCAAAAUCUCUAUUUCAGGAGAAAUUGUAGCACGUUAAGUUAGCUUUCCAAGGCCUGUUGAAUCAGCUCAAUACGACAUCGGAUGAGGGAGAUAUGGUGAAAAUACGAAGGGCAGUACAUAUGUGUUUCCAAUUCGGGAUUUCUUCACAGCAAGAGACGUUUUCCACAGAUUUUGCUCCCUUCAUUAAUCUUUCCAAUCUAUUUUAUUUUGAUUGGGCUGGGUUAAGUCCACUUGAAUUGAGUCCUCUCUUAUGGG